GCGACCGUGGCUUACGAGGUAGAGCAGUCGACUAAGGGUCGGAAAGUCUCUGGUUCGAAUCUGGCUUCUCUCG